rnacentral:tRNA from 1 species
GGAGAGGUGGCCGAGCUGGUUGAAGGCGCCUGAUUCGAAAUCAGGUUUUGGUUAACGCCAAACGGGGGUUCGAAUCCCUCCCUCUCCU